rnacentral:rRNA from 3 species
ACGACUCUCGGCAACGGAUAUCUCGGCUCAUGCAUCGAUGAAGAACGUAGCAAAAUGCGAUACUUGGUGUGAAUUGCAGAAUCCCGUGAACCAUCGAGUUUUUGAACGCAAGUUGCGCCCGAAGCCAUUCGGCCGAGGGCACGUCUGCCUGGGCGUCACGC